CCUUCUUCACACGAACUGUUCUCCUGGUUUCUUUGGAAAGUAAUUUUACACCAGCCCAUCCAAGCUGAGGCAAGGAGUUGAAAGUUUAGCACAGGCCCAUGGGGAAACAGGAACAAAAAUGAAACGGCCCAAGGUACUCUCCUUUUUACCCAUUCCAACACUGAUUGCAUGGCCUCCGGCCGUGCCUCAGAACACACGGUAGAACAGCUGGAAUUGAUCAGUGGGCCCCAUAUUAACCCAUUGGUUCCAGGAGGUGGGAUUUCCUGAACCCAAAGCACUAAUUUUUGCACGUUUUUUGGUCUUUCCUUUCUGACUUUUCGGGAAGCAGGGAGCGUGUGUGGGCAAACAAGCCAAACGGAGCGGCAGCACACUGUUCCUCCAUUAGCUUCACGCAGCAAACUGAGAAGCCCAGAGAGAAAGGAAAACACAUUCUGGACGGCCUUUGUUUAUUGUUCCUCGCAGAGCAGCUCGGAGCUUACCCAGAGGAGCCUGCUGGGAGUGAGAUCUUCAGCAGACCUUAAGCUUCAGCGAGGUGGAAGGCAAUCCCCAUGGCGACCACUCAGUUGGGGUCUCCCCCGGGCUGCGCAGGUGCAGCACCUGUAGUAGGCGUGGCCACAUGAGCCCGUGAGUAAGGACCCUUCAUCCCGUGCCAGCCACCGGAUAGGAGCCAGGCCAUGCUCACUGGGCCAGUCACCCGUGUCUCUCAGAAGUUGCCCCACCUGGUACCUCUCGUGCCGACUACCUGGUACCACUGUCUGAACUCCGAGGGGACAAUCCCCCGGCAUUGGCUACCCAGGACGGUGAUGAAUUCCAAAGAUGAAUUUCACUAUAUUGAACAUGGCCCAUUGCAUUUAAAAUUAAAGAGCUGAGAAGAAACCACCACUCGCUGAUGGUAAGUGUCUGGGGAAAUGAACACUCAUACAUACUCUCAUGAAGGUGCACACUGUUAUGUUAUGAAACUUGGGGAAGACAAUCU